GGACUUGAACAAGUACCUGGGCAAGCGCCUGCUUGUGAAGUUCAACGGAGGCCGUGAAGUUGCUGGAACGCUG
rnacentral:SRP_RNA from 1 species